rnacentral:rRNA from 1 species
GCUAGCGUUGUUCGGAAUUACUGGGCGUAAAGCGCACGUAGGCGGAUAGUUAAGUUAGAGGUGAAAGCCCAGGGCUCAACUCUGGAACUGCCUUUAAUACUGGCUGUCUAGAGAUCGAGAGAGGUGAGUGGAAUUCCGAGUGUAGAGGUGAAAUUCGUAGAUAUUCGGAGGAACACCAGUGGCGAAGGCGGCUCACUGGCUCGAUACUGACGCUGAGGUGCGAAAGCGUGGGGAGCAAACAGG